rnacentral:piRNA from 1 species
UUUCCCUCCUGAAUGCUAAAAGG